UGGGGAAUAUUGGACAAUGGGGGCAACCCUGAUCCAGCCAUGCCGCGUGAGUGAUGAAGGCCUUCGGGUUGUAAAGCUCUUUUGGCGGGGACGAUGAUGACGGUACCCGCAGAAUAAGCCCCGGCUAACUUCGUGCCAGCAGCCGCGGUAAGACGAAGGGGGCUAGCGUUGUUCGGAAUUACUGGGCGUAAAGCGAGUGUAGGCGGUUGCCGUAGUCAGGUGUGAAAGCCUUGAGCUCAACUCAAGAAAUGCACUUGAUACUGGGUGACUAGAGGACCGGAGAGGAUAGUGGAAUUCCCCAGUGUAGUGGUGAAAUACGUAGAGAUUGGGAAGAACACCAGUGGCGAAGGCGGCUAUCUGGACGGUUACUGACGCUAAGACUCGAAAGCGUGGGGAGCAAACAGGAUUAGAUACCCUGGUAGUCCACGCCGUAAACGAUGGGUGCUAGACGUUGGCGAGCUUGCUCGUCAGUGUCGCAGCUAACGCGUUAAGCACCCCGCCUGGGGAGUACGGCCGCAAGGUUGAAACUCAAAGGAA
rnacentral:rRNA from 1 species